rnacentral:rRNA from 1 species
GGGGAAUAUUGGACAAUGGGGGAAACCCUGAUCCAGCCAUGCCGCGUGAGUGAUGAAGGCCCUAGGGUUGUAAAGCUCUUUUGUGCGGGAAGAUAAUGACGGUACCGCAAGAAUAAGCCCCGGCUAACUUCGUGCCAGCAGCCGCGGUAAUACGAAGGGGGCUAGCGUUGCUCGGAAUCACUGGGCGUAAAGGGUGCGUAGGCGGAUCUUUAAGUCAGAGGUGAAAGCCUGGAGCUCAACUCCAGAACUGCCUUUGAUACUGGGGAUCUUGAGUUCGGGAGAGGUGAGUGGAACUGCGAGUGUAGAGGUGAAAUUCGUAGAUAUUCGCAAGAACACCAGUGGCGAAGGCGGCUCACUGGCCCGAGACUGACGCUGAGGCACGAAAGCGUGGGGAGCAAAC